GCUAAGCCACGAUGUCCCACGAGCCUCUUUUUUUAUUCACUUCAACGCACUGGAAAGUGUAGACAUAGAUCUUCUAAUACCAAGCCACUGUUUGAUCUUUCCCAAUAAGGAUGACGUGAAAGAACGCUCAAAGAAGAGGUGCUGGCUUGUUUCCACCAUAUGUCCACAAAGAACACAAUUCCGGUCAAUCUCCAAGUAUUGCAAUUUAUCUUUAGUAAGGAGUUUAGAUUGGACUUCUAACCAAAGCUAAAAAGAGUGCUCCGGUGUUAUGCAAGAGCUCCAAACAUCUAUUGCCCGAAUUCUCUUACUUCCUCUUGGCCGGAAACAAAAUCAUAUGCUCUACUCGUGCAAAAAUUUUCCGCUGUAGACCAGGGAUUGAAUCUGUCCAAAACUGCUUCAGUAAUAGGCCAUGGAAUUGCGUCUGCCUGAAUUGUCUCAUCUUGUUGAUUUGAGGCUAAUCGACCCGGAGAAAUCAAGCUAUUUCUCCCCUCCACUUGGCCGAACUGCACGGUCAGUCCCCGUGUAUAAAUAUGGACAGAAACAACAAUUUUAACAUUGAAUCCCUGAUUUCCAGCAACUGUUUGAAUAGAGGAG
rnacentral:lncRNA from 1 species